rnacentral:rRNA from 1 species
UACGUAGGGGGCUAGCGUUGCUCGGAAUCACUGGGCGUAAAGGGCGCGUAGGCGGACUUUUAAGUCAGGGGUGAAAUCCUGAGGCUCAACCCCAGAACUGCCUUUGAUACUGAGGGUCUCGAGACCGGUAGAGGUAAGUGGAACUGCGAGUGUAGAGGUGAAAUUCGUAGAUAUUCGCAAGAACACCAGUGGCGAAGGCGGCUCACUGGCCCGAUACUGACGCUGAGGCACGAAAGCGUGGGGAGCAAACAGGG